rnacentral:rRNA from 1 species
UUAUUUUAUUAUUUAAUUUUUUUAUAAUUUAUUUUUUAUUUAUAAUUAAAUUUAUUUUUUGUUUAUAGUUAUUGUAUUAGUAUUGAUUUAGAAUUUAUAUAAGAAUUUUAUAGGGAAUUAUUACAUUGAUGGGUAAUUGGUAUAAUUUAUUAAUAAUUGUUGAAAAAUGAAUAUUAUUUUGUAUUUUGUGUAUCAAAGUUUAUUAAUUUUAUUUAUUUAAUUAUUGUUUUCUCGAAUUUAAAUGAGAUAAUUGAUUUAGUUAGUUACUGUUGAAUAAAUUGUAUUAAUUAAUUUUAGUUAGGGAUGAUAAGUUAUUCGUUUUUAAAUAUAUCUAGUUUUUGAAUUAUAAAAUUUAAUUUUAUUUAUUGAUUUAGUAAUGAGUUAAUUUGUUAAUUUCGUAUUAUUAUUAAUAAUUAAAUUUUAUUUGGGUUUAUCUUGAUAAUAUAUUUUUAUAUUUAUUUUGUUAUUAUUUUUAUUAUGAAUGUGGAUGAUUAUAAUUUUUAUUAUUAUUUAUAAUAAAAAUUUUAUUUUGAUGAUUUGUAUAUUUAAUAUAGUAUUAAUUUAUUAAUUUAGGAUAUUUAUUUAAUUGUAUUAUAUUGGUUAAAAUGAUGAAAUUAGUAUUAUUAUGAGGUAAUGGUAUUUUGUUGAUUAAUUAUAAUUAGAUUUAAUUAAUUUGGCAAAAAUUUAUGUUCAACUGUUUAUCAAAAACAUUUUUUUUUGAUUUUGAUUUAAAGUAUGGUCUGCCCACUGAAUUUAUUUGAAGGGCUGCAAUUUGUACUAAGGUAGCAUAAUAAUUAGUUUUUUAAUUGGGAACUGGAAUGAAUGAUUUAAUGAAAUAUGAUCUGUGUUUAAUUUAUAUUUAAAAAUUUUAUUAUUAGAUGAAAAGGUUUAGAUUUUAAUUAUAGACGAGAAGACCCUAUAGAAUUUUAUUAAUUUUAUUUAUUUAAGUGAGUAAAAAUUUAUUUAGUUGGGGUGAUUUUAAAAUUUAUAAAACUUUUAUUUUUAAUUAUUAUUAGGAUUUAUUAUUAUAUUUAUUUUUAUGUUUUAAAUUUAUUAUUAAUUGAUUUAUUUAAAUUACCUUAGGGAUAACAGCGUAAUUUUAAUUUUGAGUUCUUAUUGGAAUUAAGUUUUGCGACCUCGAUGUUGGAUUAAGAUUUAUUUUAGAUGGAAAAAUUUAAAUUAUUUAGUCUGUUCGACUAUUAUUAUCUUACAUGAUCUGAGUUCAGACCGGUGUGAGCCAGGUUGGUUUCUAUCUUUAUUUAUUUUUUAUUUUUUAGUACGAAAGGAAUUUAGAUUAUGAAUUUUUUAUUUUUAUAAUUGAGUUAUAUUAAUGAUUUU